AACGAACGCUGGCGGCAGGCUUAACACAUGCAAGUCGAGCGCCCCGCAAGGGGAGCGGCAGACGGGUGAGUAACGCGUGGGAAUCUACCCAUCACUACGGAACAACUCCGGGAAACUGGAGCUAAUACCGUAUACGUCCUUCGGGAGAAAGAUUUAUCGGUGAUGGAUGAGCCCGCGUUGGAUUAGCUAGUUGGUGGGGUAAUGGCCCACCAAGGCGACGAUCCAUAGCUGGUCUGAGAGGAUGAUCAGCCACACUGGGACUGAGACACGGCCCAGACUCCUGGGGGAGGCAGCAGAGGGGAAUAGUGGAGAAUGGGGGCAAGCCUGAUCCAGCCAUGCCGAAUGAGUGAUGAAGGCCCUAGGGUUGUAAAGCUCUUUCACCGGUGGAGAUAAUGACGGUAACCGGAGAAGAAGCCCCGGCUAACAUCGUGCCAGCCGCCGCGGUAA
rnacentral:rRNA from 1 species